AAGCGCUCAGAAGACAAAGGAUGAUAAGAGAAGAAACAGCACGGAUGUUCUGAGAACAAAUCAUAUCCAGCUCCCUUCUGCAGAUAAGGAAAGAUGCUCCAAACUCACCCUGGGAAGGAGGAGCCUUGGGAAGUGCAGGAAUCCAGUGAUGAGGAUGAAGAGCAAACCCUGCUGCAGUGACUGAGGGCCUCUUCUACCCACCCUGCUGUAUUUGCUAUUCCUGCUCUGCAGCCUGGGAGGAGUUCAGUCCAUUAUUAAACCAAAUUCCAGCUCUGUCUUGUCAGGCUUAAUGCAGCUUUGAAAGUCAGGGCCCAAGACAAGCACCUGAAUGUCCCAUUGCUUAAAACCACACACCUAAAUCCACCUUACAGACCCAAAUAAGCCAGAGGAGUUCUGAAAAUGCUGAGAAUCUCCAACAUCCACAGCCCCAGGUGAUACCCAGCAUCUUUAGAAAUAGAAAGCUCUGAUUAGUACCAGAAUAGCUGUGAAAUGCCUGGUACCCCCACUUGAGUAUCUUCUUCAGAGAAC
rnacentral:lncRNA from 1 species